GCUGUUGUGUUGCUGUGAAUCCCAGAUGGGAGUGGCACGCACAUAUGACCAGGCCAGCAGGGAGUAGUCCACAAGACUCACCCACUGCUCUGCCUCUACCAACUGGUUGCACUGCUCUAACAAGGUCCUCUGUAAGUGGAUCUGGUUGAGGCAGGAUGUCAGAAACUUCAUCUGCGAAUGAGAAGAGAGAGCAAAAUAGAGGCCAGUAGCAAUUCAUCUUCAGAGAGAGAGAGAGAGAGAGAGAGAGAGAGAGAGAGAGAGAGAGAGAGAGAGAGAGAGAGAGAGAGAGAGAGAGAGAGAGAGAGAGAGAGAGAGAGAGAGAGAGAGAGAGAGAGAGAGAGAGA